rnacentral:rRNA from 1 species
GACGAACGCUGGCGGCGUGCUUAACACAUGCAAGUCGAACGGAAAGGCCCUGCUUUUGUGGGGUGCUCGAGUGGCGAACGGGUGAGUAACACGUGAGUAACCUGCCCUUGACUUUGGGAUAACUUCAGGAAACUGGGGCUAAUACCGGAUAGGAGCUCCUGCUGCAUGGUGGGGGUUGGAAAGUUUCGGCGGUUGGGGAUGGACUCGCGGCUUAUCAGCUUGUUGGUGGGGUAGUGGCUUACCAAGGCUUUGACGGGUAGCCGGCCUGAGAGGGUGACCGGCCACAUUGGGACUGAGAUACGGCCCAGACUCCUACGGGAGGCAGUAGUGGGGAAUAUUGCAGAAUGGGAGGAAGCCUGAUGCAGCAACGCCGCGUGCGGGAUGACGGCCUUCGGGUUGUAAACCGCUUUCGCCUGUGACGAAGCGUGAGUGACGGUAAUGGGUAAAGAAGCACCGGCUAACUACGUG